CUUUACUAUAACUUGGCAUUGGGUUCGGGCUUCUCUUGCGCAGGAUAGGUGGGAGACUAUGAUGAUGUCCUUGUGGGGACAUCGGAGUCAACGGUGAGAUACCACUCUGGAAAGGCUAGAAUCCUCAUGGUGAUCCUUGAAUCAGGACACUUGACAGUUUCAGGCGGGCAGUUUCUCUGGGGCGGAGGCCUCAUAAAAGGUAACGGAGGCGCGCAAAGGUUCCCUCAGGCUGGUCGGAAAUCAGCCAAAGAGUGUAAAAGCAUAAGGGAGCUUGACUGCAAGACCAACAAGUCAAGCAGGGACGAAAGUCGGCUUUAGUGAUCCGACGGCACAGCGUGGAAUGGCCGUCGCUCAACGGAUAAAAGUUA
rnacentral:rRNA from 1 species